rnacentral:rRNA from 1 species
GAUGAACGCUGGCGGCGUGCCUAACACAUGCAAGUCGAACGAAGAAGAGUUGAAUGAGAGCUUCGGCAGGAUUUCUUCUCAUCUUAGUGGCGGACGGGUGAGUAACGUGUGGGCAACCUGCCCUGUACUGUGGAAUAAUCACUGGAAACGGUGACUAAUACCGCAUGUCAUCACCGGAGGGCAUCCUCUGGUGAAAAAAGGAGUAAUUCGGUACAGGAUGGGCCCGCAUCUGAUUAGCUAGUUGGUGAGAUAACAGCCCACCAAGGCGACGAUCAGUAGCCGACCUGAGAGGGUGAUCGGCCACAUUGGGACUGAGACACGGCCCAAACUCCUACGGGAGGCAGCAGUGGGGAAUAUUGCACAAUGGGGGAAACCCUGAUGCAGCAACGCCGCGUGAAGGAUGAAGGUUUUCGGAUCGUAAACUUCUAUCAACAGGGAAGAAACAAAUGACGGUACCUGAAUAAGAAGCCCCGGCUAACUACGUGCCAGCCGCCGCCGUAAAAC